AGAGGAAGCCGGUGCGAAUCCGGCGCGGUCCCGCCACUGUCACCGGGGUGCGCCCCGGGAGCCAGGAACUC
rnacentral:ncRNA from 2 species